AUAUAUAUAUUUUAUUUUUUUUUUUUUGGGGGGGGGGGGGGUGAUUAUUAUUAUUAAGCAUUCAAACAAUGCAAGAAAAUUACUCACUUUAGUUGGAUUUUUCCCGUAAAUCAUAGUUAUAUAUAUAUACAGUAAUUAUAUUUUGGCCCAUUCGUUCCUACUAGAAAAUUUUUGACAAAUUAAAUUCAAUGAGAAGGAAAGAAAUUGACAUGCACCUAUAUUUUUACAAAACUCAUUUGGUAAUUUAAGUUGCCGAACCAACCUACAAAUUGGUGUGUGUACCGUGUGCGUGUGUAGUAGAACUUAGAAUUCAAUGACUUAAUAUCAAACACCAAAAUGCUGGAACACCCAAAUAUUUGGGAAAAAUAUGUAAAUUAAAAGUACAGACAAUAUUGUUUCAAUUAUGUUUUCUUCCAAGUUUGAAAUUAAUGUGCACCAAAAACAUGUUUAUAAUACAUCUUUUUUUUCAAACCUAAGGGUUAAAAUGUCUGUUUAAUUUCAAGUUAAGAGUUAAUUUGUUCAUAAAGGUUGUGAUGGAAAUUAAGAUUAACACAAAUUGUGUUGAUAAUUACUAAAUGGAUUUCAUUAUCACCAUUGACUUGUAUGGAAACCCAAUUCUAUUAUUGGCAAACACUAAUAUCGGAUUAAUAAGGAAACCAUGAAAUUAACAUGCAUGUUUGCCUUGAGUUUUGUGAGGAAUUAAUUACUAUUGGCUUAUGUUGUGGUAUGGACUUUAUACUGUUACAUCUAUAACUGCCAACAGUCAGGGUAAUUUUCUACAUUCCUACAAACUUAAAUGUCUUGAACCAUUAAGUUUAAAUUCAUCAUAUCUCUUUGUUUACAUGUUUUUAUUUUAAAAAAACACCGCAUGACUUUUUUCCGGUACUUAAAAUUACUUAAGCAUAAUAUCAAUAGUAUUUUUGUAUUAGAAAUGUAAUUUUAUAUGUUCAGUAGAAAUUUCUGUGUACUUAAAAUAUUUCAUGUUAUCUAUAUGAGUAUUUUUCCUUCUACAUAUUUUACCAUGCAUUUGUUUUCUUCAUGAUGUAUACACUUCCACUGUAGAGUACAUGUCAAAACCACGUGUAAGGCUUGGUUUUAUUUAUAAAUUAGAGUUAGUAUAUCAAUAUUGUAAUUUGGACGAUUACGUACCAUUAUAGGAAUUUUGUGUGAUUGUUUUUUCCAUUCAUAGCUGAAUAAAAUGUCAUACAUGUAGUUGAUAAUAAUUUAAAACAAGAAACCAAUGAAUGCCACUCUCUGACUACGUCCAUGACACUAUAUAUAGAUUGAUGUGCAUUAAAAGAGUUAUUCUCUGCGUAUUUUGCUCAUAUAUAUCUCUGUAUGUAUAGAUAUUUAAAUUCUAAUUUAACUGUUGAGGUUGUUUAUUUCAAUGUUAUCCUAUUUGAUGUUAAUUGUUUUUACAUUGAAGUUUCCGUCCUUUUUAUGAAUAAAAUUUUGAAUUUG
rnacentral:sRNA from 1 species